rnacentral:rRNA from 1 species
UGGGGAAUUUUGGACAAUGGGCGAAAGCCUGAUCCAGCAAUGCCGCGUGUGUGAAGAAGGCCUUCGGGUUGUAAAGCACUUUUGUCCGGAAAGAAAUCCUUGGCUCUAAUACAGUCGGGGGAUGACGGUACCGGAAGAAUAAGCACCGGCUAACUACGUGCCAGCAGCCGCGGUAAUACGUAGGGUGCAAGCGUUAAUCGGAAUUACUGGGCGUAAAGCGUGCGCAGGCGGUUUGCUAAGACCGAUGUGAAAUCCCCGGGCUCAACCUGGGAACUGCAUUGGUGACUGGCAGGCUAGAGUAUGGCAGAGGGGGGUAGAAUUCCACGUGUAGCAGUGAAAUGCGUAGAGAUGUGGAGGAAUACCAAUGGCGAAGGCAGCCCCUGGGCCAAUACUGACGCUCAUGCACGAAAGCGUGGGGAGCAAACAGGAUUAGAUACCCUGGUAGUCCACGCCCUAAACGAUGUCAACUAGUUGUUGGGGAUUCAUUCCUUAGUAACGUAGCUAACGCGUGAAGUUGACCGCCUGGGGAGUACGGUCGCAAGAUUAAAACUUAAAGGAAUUGAC